rnacentral:rRNA from 1 species
AAAAACAUAGCCUUUAGCCCCUCAAGUAUUAAAGGUCCCGCCUGCCCAGUGAACUGUUUAACGGCCGCGGUAUCCUAACCGUGCAAAGGUAGCGCAAUCACUUGUCCCCUAAAUAGGGACUCGUAUGAAUGGCUAAAUGAGGGCCCGACUGUCUCCAAGAGCCAAUCAAUGAAACUGAUCUCUCAGUACAAAAGCUGAAAUAAAAUCAUAAGACGAGAAGACCCUGUGGAGCUUUAGAACCAAGCCAUAUUCCCCAACCAUGGCCCAACUCUUCAGUUGGGGCGACUUUGGAGUAAACAAAACCUCCAAGCCAAGGCCCACCCUUAUCAAGGCCAACACGCCAAAACAACACUAUUUUGACCCAGCACACCUGAUCAACGAACCAAGUUACCCCAGGGAUAACAGCGCCAUCCUCUUCGAAAGUCCAUAUUUACAAGAGGGCUUACGACCUCGAUGUUGGAUCAGGACAUCCUAGCGGUGCAGCCGCUGCUAAGGGUUCGUUUGUUCAACGAUUAAUAGU